UAGCCGGCCUGAGAGGGCGACCGGCCACACUGGGACUGAGACACGGCCCAGACUCCUACGGGAGGCAGCAGUGGGGAAUAUUGCGCAAUGGGCGAAAGCCUGACGCAGCAACGCCGCGUGGGGGAUGACGGCCUUCGGGUUGUAAACCCCUUUCAGCAGGGACGAAGCGAAAGUGACGGUACCUGCAGAAGAAGCGCCGGCUAACUACGUGCCAGCAGCCGCGGUAAUACGUAGGGCGCAAGCGUUGUCCGGAAUUAUUGGGCGUAAAGAGCUCGUAGGUGGUUUGUCGCGUCUGCUGUGAAAACCUAAGGCUUAACCUUGGGCUUGCAGUGGAUACGGGCAGACUAGAGGUAGGUAGGGGAGAUGGGAAUU
rnacentral:rRNA from 1 species